rnacentral:rRNA from 1 species
AGAAUUUGAUCAUGGGUCAAAUUGAGCGCUGGGGGCAGGCCUAACACAUGCAAGUCGAGCGGAUGACGGGAGCUUGCUCCUUGAUUCAGCGGCGGACGGGUGAGUAAUGCCUAGGAAUCUGCCUGGUAGUGGGGGACAACGUUUCGAAAGGAACGCUAAUACCGCAUACGUCCUACGGGAGAAAGCAGGGGACCUUCGGGCCUUGCGCUAUCAGAUGAGCCUAGGUCGGAUUAGCUUGUUGGUGAGGUAAUGGCUCACCAAGGCGACGAUCCGUAACUGGUCUGAGAGGAUGAUCAGUCACACUGGAACUGAGACACGGUCCAGACUCCUACGGGAGGCAGC